rnacentral:lncRNA from 1 species
GCGAUCGUGACGCUGAAGGAGCGCACCGGGUCGAGCCAGUAUGCGAUCGGGAAGUUCCUCGAGGACAAGCACAAGAAUCACCUCCCGGGAAACUUUCGGAAGAUCCUCCUCGGCCAGCUGAAGAGGCUCACUGCUGCCGGUAAGCUCAAGAAGGUAAAGAACUCCUACAAGGUAGCCGCCGCCACCGCCACCUCCUCUUCCUCGUCCUCCGCUGCUCCGACGAAGCCUAAACCGAAACCCAAGGCAGCCACCAAGAAACCCGCUGCUCCGACGAAGACGAAGCCCAAGGCGAAGGCCCCCGCUGCCGCUAAGCCCAAGCCGAAAGCUAAGCCGAUCCCCGCUGCCAAGCCCAAGCCGAAGGCAAAGCCGGCUUCCCCCGCCAAACCGAAAGCCAAGCCAG